GUGCUCACUUUGGCAGCACAUAUACUAAAAUUGGAAUGAUACAGAGGAGGUUAGCAUGGACCCUGUGCAAGGAUGACAAUGCAAAAAUAAAGAAUACUACAUAGUA